GAUGAACGCUGGCGGCGUGCCUAAUACAUGCAAGUCGAGCGAACAGACGAGGAGCUUGCUCCUCUGACGUUAGCGGCGGACGGGUGAGUAACACGUGGAUAACCUACCUAUAAGACUGGGAUAACUUCGGGAAACCGGAGCUAAUACCGGAUAAUAUAUUGAACCGCAUGGUUCAAUAGUGAAAGACGGUUUUGCUGUCACUUAUAGAUGGAUCCGCGCCGCAUUAGCUAGUUGGUAAGGUAACGGCUUACCAAGGCAACGAUGCGUAGCCGACCUGAGAGGGGGACCGGCCAACCGGGAACUGAGACCGGGCCCAGACUCCUAGGGGAGGCAGCGGUAGGAAAUCUUCGGCAAUGGGCGAAAGCCUGACGAGGCAACGCCGCGUGAGUGAUGAAGGCCUUCGGACCGUAAACCCCUGUUAUUGGGGAAGAACAAAUGGGAAAGUAACUAUGCACGUCUGGACGGUACCUAACCAGAAAGCACGGCUAACUACGUG
rnacentral:rRNA from 1 species